GUAUAUCCAACUCCAUAAACA
rnacentral:tRNA from 1 species